rnacentral:rRNA from 1 species
AGAGUUUGAUCAUGGCUCAGAUUGAACGCUGGCGGCAGGCUUAACACAUGCAAGUCGAACGGUAGCAGGAGAAAGCUUGCUUUCUUGCUGACGAGUGGCGGACGGGUGAGUAAUGCUUGGGAAUCUGGCUUAUGGAGGGGGAUAACUACGGGAAACUGUAGCUAAUACCGCGUAAUAUCGGAAGAUUAAAAACUGGGACUUUUAGCCAGUUGCCAUAAGAUGAGCCCAAGUGGGAUUAGGUAGUUGGUUAGGUAAAGGCUGACCAAGCCCGCGAUCUCUAGCUGGUCUGAGAGGAUGACCAGCCACACUGGAACUGAGACACGGUCCAGACUCCUACGGGAGGCAGCAGUGGGGAAUAUUGCACAAUGGGGGGAACCCUGAUGCAGCCAUGCCGCGUGAAUGAAGAAGGCCUUCGGGUUGUAAAGUUCUUUCGGUGGUGAGGAAGGCGUUGUAUUUAAUAGAUACAGCGAUUGACGUUAGCCACAGAAGAAGCACCGGCUAACUCCGUGCCAGCAGCCGCGGUAAUACGGAGGGUGCGAGCGUUAAUCGGAAUAACUGGGCGUAAAGGGCACGCAGGCGGUUAUUUAAGUGAGGUGUGAAAUCCCCGAGCUCAACUUGGGAAUUGCAUUUCAGACUGGAUAACUAGAGUACUUUAGGGAGGGGUAGAAUUCCACGUGUAGCGGUGAAAUGCGUAGAGAUGUGGAGGAAUACCGAAGGCGAAGGCAGCCCCUUGGGAAGAUACUGACGCUCAUGUGCGAAAGCGUGGGGAGCAAACAGGAUUAGAUACCCUGGUAGUCCAC